rnacentral:rRNA from 1 species
UCAAGCGAAUAAGCGCACACGGUGGAUGCCUUGGCGGUCAGAGGCGAUGAAGGACGUGGCAGCCUGCGAAAAGUAUCGGGGAGCUGGCAACAAGCUUUGAUCCGGUAAUGUCCGAAUGGGGAAACCCACCCGCUUGCGGGUAUCCUGCAGUGAAUACAUAGCUGCUGGAAGCGAACCUGGUGAACUGAAAUAUCUAAGUAACCAGAGGAAAAGAAAUCAACCGAGAUUCCGUAAGUAGCGACGAGCGAACGCGGACUAGCCCUUAAGCUGGAUUGGUUCUAGGAAAACGCUCUGGAAAGAGCGGCCAUAGAAGGUGAUAGCCCUGUAUCUGAAAGGGCCAUUCCAGUGAAGACGAGUAGGGCGGGGCACGUGAAACCCUGUCUGAACAUGGGGGGACCAUCCUCCAAGGCUAAAUACUACUGACCGACCGAUAGUGAACCAGUACCGUGAGGGAAAGGCGAAAAGAACCCCGGAGAGGGGAGUGAAAUAGAACCUGAAACCGUGUGCGUACAAGCAGUAGGAGCUCCGCAAGGAGUGACUGCGUACCUUUUGUAUAAUGGGUCAGCGACUUACUGUUCGUGGCAAGCUUAACCGUAUAGGGGAGGCGAAGGGAAACCGAGUCUGAUAAGGGCGCAUAGUCGCGGGCAGUAGACCCGAAACCGGGUGAUCUAGUCAUGCCCAGGGUGAAGGUGCGGUAACACGCACUGGAGGCCCGAACCCACUCCCGUUGCAAAGGUAGGGGAUGAGGUGUGAUUAGGAGUGAAAAGCUAAUCGAACCCGGAGAUAGCUGGUUCUCCUCGAAAGCUAUUUAGGUAGCGCCUCAUAUGUAUCCUCUCGGGGGUAGAGCACUGUUAUGGCUAGGGGGUCAUCGCGACUUACCAAACCAUUGCAAACUCCGAAUACCGAGACGGACUGUAUGGGAGACACACGGCGGGUGCUAACGUCCGUCGUGAAAAGGGAAACAACCCAGACCCACAGCUAAGGUCCCAAAUUUUGUGCUAAGUGGAAAACCAUGUGGAAAGGCACAGACAGCCAGGAGGUUGGCUUAGAAGCAGCCACCCUUUAAAGAAAGCGUAAUAGCUCACUGGUCGAGUCGGUCUGCGGGGAAGAUUUAACGGGGCUAAGCACAGAACCGAAGCUUGGGGUGCAUAACUUUGUUAUGCGCGGUAGAGGAGCGUUCCGUAAGCCGUUGAAGGUGGAUUGAGAAGUCUGCUGGAGGUAUCGGAAGUGCGAAUGCUGACAUGAGUAACGAUAAUGCGGGUGAAAAACCCGCACGCCGAAAGCCCAAGGUUUCCUUGCGCAACGUUAAUCGGCGCAGGGUGAGUCGGCCCCUAAGGCGAGGACGAAAGUCGUAGUCGAUGGGAAGCAGGUUAAUAUUCCUGCACCUCGCGUAAGUGCGAUGGAGGGACGGAGAAGGUUAGGUGUACCAGGCGUUGGUUGUCCUGGGGAAAGGCGGUAGGUUUGGAUCUUUGGCAAAUCCGGGAUCCUUUAAGACCGAGCACCGAGACGAGCCUUUAAGGCGAAGUCACUGAUACCACGCUUCCAGGAAAAGCUCCUAAGCUUCAGCUUACGCAGACCGUACCGUAAACCGACACAGGUGGGUAGGAUGAGAAUUCUCAGGCGCUUGAGAGAACUCGGGUGAAGGAACUAGGCAACAUGGCACCGUAACUUCGGGAGAAGGUGCACCCUUUUUGGUGGCUCGUGCGAGCUAUAGCUGAAGAGGGUCGCAGUAACCAGGCCGCUGCGACUGUUUAUCAAAAACACAGCACUCUGCAAACACGAAAGUGGACGUAUAGGGUGUGACGCCUGCCCGGUGCUGGAAGGUUAAUUGAUGGGGUCAGCCGCAAGGCGAAGCUCUUGAUCGAAGCCCCAGUAAACGGCGGCCGUAACUAUAACGGUCCUAAGGUAGCGAAAUUCCUUGUCGGGUAAGUUCCGACCUGCACGAAUGGCGUAACGACAGCGGCGCUGUCUCCACCCGAGACUCAGUGAAAUUGAAAUCGCUGUGAAGAUGCAGCGUUCCCGUGGCAAGACGGAAAGACCCCGUGAACCUUUACUAUAGCUUUACACUGAACGUUGAGUUCGUCUGUGUAGGAUAGGUGGGAGGCUAUGAAACUGUGGCGCUAGCUGCAGCGGAGCCAUCCUUGAAAUACCACCCUGUCGUGCUUGACGUUCUAACCUGGGCCCAUUAUCUGGGUCGGGGACCGUGUAUGGUGGGUAGUUUGACUGGGGCGGUCUCCUCCUAAAGAGUAACGGAGGAGCUCGAAGGUACGCUCAGCGCGGUCGGACAUCGCGCACUGUGUGCAAAGGCAUAAGCGUGCUUGACUGCAAGAUCGACGGAUCAAGCAGGUAGGAAACUAGGACUUAGUGAUCCGGUGGUUCUGUAUGGAAGGGCCAUCGCUCAACGGAUAAAAGGUACUCCGGGGAUAACAGGCUGAUACCGCCCAAGAGUUCAUAUCGACGGCGGUGUUUGGCACCUCGAUGUCGGCUCAUCACAUCCUGGGGCUGUAGUCGGUCCCAAGGGUAUGGCUGUUCGCCAUUUAAAGUGGUACGCGAGCUGGGUUCAGAACGUCGUGAGACAGUUCGGUCCCUAUCUGCCAUGGGCGUUGGAGAUUUGAGAGGGGCUGCUCCUAGUACGAGAGGACCGGAGUGGACGAACCUCUGGUGUUCCGGUUGUCACGCCAGUGGCAUUGCCGGGUAGCUAUGUUCGGAAGCGAUAACCGCUGAAAGCAUCUAAGCGGGAAGCGCGCCUCAAGAUGAGAUCUCCCGGGGCACAAGCCCCCUGAAGGAACCAUGUAGACUACGUGGUUGAUAGGUCAGGUGUGUAAGUACAGCAAUGUAUUGAGCUAACUGAUACUAAUGAUCCGUGCGGCUUGACCAU